UGGAUCAGAACGAACGCUGGCGGCGUGCUUAACACAUGCAAGUCGAGCGGAAAGGCCCCUUCGGGGGUACUCGAGCGGCGAACGGGUGAGUAACACGUGGGUAAUCUGCCCAGGACACAGGAAUAACCCGGGGAAACCCGAGAUAAUGCAUGAUGAUGUGCCGGCCUUACGGGGCCAGUACCAAAGAUAGCUUCGGCCUUCGGUCUUGGAUGAGCCCGCGUCCCAUUAGCUUGUUGGUGAGGUAACGGCUCACCAAGGCUGGGAAGAGUAGCUGGUCUGAGAGGACGAUCAGCCACACUGGGAUUGUCUCACGGCCCAGGAUCCUACGGGAGGCAG
rnacentral:rRNA from 1 species